GGGACCCAUCCCUGGUGGCCUGCAGGGACAGCCAGAGCAGCCCCCGGCUCCCCUGGCAGCAGCAUGUGGUCGGUCUGCUGGCUCCCCGUGCUCACACAGCUGCUGCUGCUGCGGUUCCUGGUGGCUCAGCCUGUGAGCCCCAUCAGGGUGUUCGUGGUGCCCCACAGUCACAUGGACGUGGGCUGGAUCUACACGGUGCAGGAGAGCCUGCGGGCCUAUGCUGCCAACGUCUAUACCACAGUGGUGGAGCAGCUGAUGCUCCAGAAGCAGCGCAGGUUCAUCGCGGUGGAGCAGGAGUACUUCCGGCUGUGGUGGGAUGGCAUCGCCUCCUACAGGCAGAAACGCCAGGUCCGCCAUCUCCUGGCCACGAGACGCCUGGAGUUUGUCAUCGGGGGCCAGGUCAUGCAUGAUGAGACCGUGGCCCACUUUGAUGACCAGAUCCUACAGCUCACAGAAGGACACGGCUUCCUGUACGAAACCUUUGGGAUCCGGCCAAGGUUCUCCUGGCAAAUCGACUCCUUUGGUGCAUCUGCCACGACCCCCACCCUAUUUGCCCUGGCGGGCUUCCAUGCCCACGUCAUCUCCCGCAUCGACUAUGCCCUGAAGGACACCAUGCAGAACUCGCAGGGGCUGCAGUUUGUGUGGCGAGGGUCCCCAACCCUAUCAGCUCAGCAGGAAAUCUUCACGCAUGUCUUGGACCAGUACAACUACUGCUCGGAAGGCUUUAACUGGGACGGCACUGCAGUCUUCCCGAACUCACCGCCAGACAGGGUAUUUCACCCGAAGUCUGUACCCAUCACUUGGAACAAUAUCAAUUACUAUGUCAGUCUCCUUGUGGACAAUGUGAAGGAGCGAGCCACCUGGUUCCGGACACCGCACCUCCUCUGGCCCUGGGGCUGUGACAAGCAGUUCUUCAACGCGUCGCUGCAGUUCUCCAACAUGGACCCGCUGCUGGACUUCAUCAACAGUAACUCGUCCAAGCUCGGCAUCUCCGUGGAGUACGCCACGCUGGCCGACUACUUCGAGGCGGUGCAGGCUCACAACGCCUCGUGGCGCGUCCACACCCACGGGGACUUCCUGCCCUAUUCCUCCGAUCCAUUUCAGGCCUGGACGGGCUUCUACGCCUCCCGCAGUGGGCUCAAGGCGCUGGCGAGGCGAGCCAGUGCUCUGUUGUAUGCCGGGGAGUCCAUGUUCACACGCUACAUGUGGCCUGCCCCCCACCAGCACCUGGACCCGGCCUGGGCCCUGAAGCAGCUCCAGAGGCUCCGCUGGGCAGUCUCCGAGGUCCAGCACCAUGAUGCCAUCACUGGGACCCAGAGCCCCAAGGUGAGAGACAUGUACGAGGAGAAUCUGAGCUCAGGGAUGCAGGGUGUGCAGGAACUGAUGGCCUCCAUCGUCCGUGACAGGACCCCAGCCCACUCGGACCAGGAACCUGUGGGACACUCUGCCGCGGUCUACAACCCCCUGGCCUGGACGGUCACCACCAUUGUUACCCUGACUGUGGGCUUCUCCAGGGUCAGCGUCACAGAUGAGUCAGGCCAGCAAGUGGCUGCACAGAUCCAGGAAUCAAAGAAGACACAAUCUGCAUAUGACCUGCAUGUGCUGACCACAAUCCCAGGGCUCAGUUACCGAUACUACAGCAUCAGGAGCACCGAGGGGACCCAGGAGGAGACGAACCAGUUGGGUGCCAGUCUGGCCAGAACCUCCAACUUUGGCCGCAAGAAAAAGACACCUGCUCGUCCAAGGGACAGGCACCUGAUUCACGUGGAGAAUGACUGUUAUACUGUGUUCCUGGACCGGGACACUAACCUACUGCACAGCAUCUGGGAGAGAGGGAGUAACCGCACAGUGCAGGUGACCCAGGAGUUCAUGGAAUACCAUGCCAAUGCUGAUUUGAAAUAUGGCUUUGUAUCUGAUAAUUUUGUGUUUAUGCCCAUCGACUCUGCAAAGCGCCCAUGGAACAGUGUGGGAAUGCAGAUUGUGGCGGGAAAGCUCAUGACUGAGAUCCGGCAAUACUUCUACAGGAAGGUGGGGGACAGGAAUCACACAUAUGCCAUCUACUCCCGGCUCGCCCACGUGCCCCUGGCCCAGGGAGCGGAGCUGCUGUGCCGGCGCAUCGAGCAGGAGUACCGGGUGGGCCCCUUGGAGCUGAACCGCGAGGCCAUCCUGAGGACCAGCACCAGUCUCCACAACAAGCAGGUCCUCCACUCAGACAACAACGGCUACCAGAUGCAGCGGAGAGUCUUCCAGAAAUACUCGAGCAAUGGCAUCGCCCGGAAUUACUACCCCAUGGCUCAGUCCGCCUUCAUUGAGGACGGCAGAAGCAGGCUGGUGCUGCUGUCCAAGCAGGCACACGGCGUGUCCAGCCAAGAGAACGGGCAGGUGGAGGUCAUGCUCCAUCGCCGGCUUUGGAACAAUUUUGAUUGGGCUCUGGAUUAUGAUCUCACCCUGAAUGACACCUCCACUGUCUACCCUGUGCUCUGGCUCCUGCUGGGACCCCAGUCUCUCACCACCCGCCUGCGUCAGAGGUGUGGGCUAGCGCUGCAGCGCGCACCCGUAGUGCUAUUAAGAGAGCUGAAUGAGUCUGCCCAGAUUUUUCCAGGCUCCCAGCGGCAGCAAGAAGCCGUGACCCUGCCCCCAAGUCUUCACCUGCAGAUCCUGAGCAUCCCGGGCUGGAACUACAGCUCCAACCACACGGAGCACCUGCAGGAUCUCCAGAAACGUGAGCCGGGUGUCCAGGGAACCAGAGUCACUCCUCCCUCCCCAUGUCAACCUGGCCCCACGCCCAUCACCGGACAAAGUGGGCUCCUGUCAGAGCUGUCCUGGCUCUGCAUGGUCCCCUGUUCCCCUUAUCUGCCCAAUGGGGAGACCCAGGCCCACAGAGAGGCAGUGGGGGGACCGGGGUCCCUCAGUAGGCAGGACACCCAGUCGGCAGGGCCCCAGAGGAGGACCUGUCCACACCCAGGCUCUGAGGAUCCCUUCUAUCCCCACCACCAAACCCCAACCAUCGUCCACCUUUGCCGGAUGCUUAGCCUGCCGUGGAGUCUGCUUCCUCAGGGACUCCUCCUGGAGCUGGGAACAACUGAGUCCCACUCAUCCUCUGAACUCAGGAAGCCUGACUAUCCGGGGCUUCCAUUCAUUCACUGAACAACUGUCUCCUGUGCCAGGCGGUGGGUAAUCAGCAGAGGUGAUGGUAGGCAAAGACCCUGGACUCACAGAGUUCUCAGACUAGACAGGGAAGCCGCCAAGUCAAGUGCUGGGCCCUGACACACAAUGUCUGGGGUGUCCCCAGACUCACUGAAUGAAAGUCCCUCCUCCCUGGGGAGCAGUGAGUGAGUGGCAGAGGGAGAGGAGCCUCAGGGAUGCAGUGAGACACCCCCACUGCUGUCCUCGAGCUCAGGGCCACCUUAUGAAGUAGGUAUGUGGUCAUGGACAUCAACGUGUCUCAACCCCACCCCCACCUACACCCCCAACAGGACACAGACAACGUGCCCAACCCUUGGGCUGAAUCCACAACCACCACCCUGGAACACAUCCAAGAGAUUUUAUAAACCCCUUGUUCUGCAGGACCCAGGAGCCCACAUUCCCCUGACCCAACACAGCCUCGUUCCUUUCUCCCCUGUGCCACAGGUCCAGUGGGCUCAGCUCAUGGCCCUUGUCACUGUGGCCACCAGGGUCCCCAGCUGAUGGAGGCCAUAUUCAGCACCUGCUUCCUCCUUCCCGGGGAUAAAGAAGCCAUCGAGGGAAGGCCA